CCUGCCUUUCAGCUUGGGAUACCCGAGGGAAACCUUGGCUAAUACCGGAUAAUUGAUUUGGAGGCAUCUCCAAAUCCUAAAAGGGGCUUCAAAGCCUCACUGAAAGAUGGACCUGCGGUGCAUUAGCUAGUUGGUAAGGUAACGGCUUACCAAGGCGAUGAUGCAUAGCCGAGUUGAGAGACUGAUCGGCCACAAUGGAACUGAGACACGGUCCAUACUCCUACGGGAGGCAGCAGUAGGGAAUCUUCCACAAUGGGCGCAAGCCUGAUGGAGCAACACCGCGUGAGUGAAGAAGGGUUUCGGCUCGUAAAGCUCUGUUGUUGGAGAAGAACGUGCGUGAGAGUAACUGUUCACGCAGUGACGGUAUCCAACCAGAAAGUCACGGCUAACUACGUGCCAGCAGCCGCGGUAAUACGUAGGUGGCAAGCGUUAUCCGGAUUUAUUGGGCGUAAAGCGAGCGCAGGCGGUUGCUUAGGUCUGAUGUGAAAGCCUUCGGCUUAACCGAAGAAGUGCAUCGGAAACCGGGCAACUUGAGUGCAGAAGAGGACAGUGGAACUCCAUGUGUAGCGGUGGAAUGCGUAAAUAUAUGGAAGAACACCAGUGGCGAAGGCGGCUGUCUGGUCUGCAACUGACGCUGAGGCUCGAAAGCAUGGGUAGCGAACAGGAUUAAAUACCCUGGUAAUCCAUGCCGUAAACGAUGAGUGCUA
rnacentral:rRNA from 1 species